rnacentral:lncRNA from 1 species
AACUCCGUCUGAACUUCCAUAGCAGAUGGAUUUCGGAUGAACUUCUACAACAGACGGGCUCCAGCAGUUGGAUUUCUACAAUGGCCGACCGCCUCCGGUGUCUAUCGUACCUCCCCAGCCAUCAACCUUCAAUAGUGUCAGCCAGACUUCAACAAUGCCAGCCGAACUUCCACAGGAUCCUUCAAACUCCUCCAGCAGAUGAACCUCCCCAAUGCCAUCCGAAGUCCACUAUCGGUCGACCCUCUGUCGGAUUUCUCAUGAAACCGGACUUCCCCAAUAGAAAAUCUUCGUUCGAUCUUCUACAGCAGAUGACUCCCGCCUGCAGCAUCAGCGCUCUAGACACCCGACAAUAGUAGACCCAUCAGCAUCCUCAAAAAUAUCCGAGCUUCUCCUAGAUUGAUGAGACAAAGAGUCAUUCAGCUCCAUCAGACAUCCCAGCCGAGCUUCAGCCGACAGAUCCGAACUCUCUGGCA